AUCUGGCGGGAAACUUGGGCAGGGUCAGCUCCCUGGGGGCGGUGGUGGUGCGGGGGGUCCUCCUCAGGCCCGGCCGCGCUCAGACACCGGCCGGCGGUGCGAUGGAGCUGCGUCAGGAGCGGAGGUAAAGCCGGGUACUCGGGACCUGCUGCCGCGCCUCCGCCCGAGCUGGCACCGCGGUAGAUCCUGCUGCCGCGGGCAGCGGAAACAGCGGGAGCGCGGAGCCAAGGCUCCCGACCGCACCCGGGAGCGGGAGCGGAAGCAGGAGACUGCGCAGGCGCCGCCGCGUGACCCUCCGACCUGCUGUCCCUGCACGGCCAUGGCAGCAGUCCGGGCCCUGCUGGCGCCGAGGCUGGCGGCCUCCGCGCUCGCGCCGCGCGCCACCCUCCACGGCUCCGCGCCGCGCCCCGGGACCAGGGUCGCGUUGGUGCUGUCUGGGUGCGGCGUCUACGACGGCACGGAGCUGCACGAGGCCUCCGCGGUGCUGGUUCACCUGAGCCGUGGUGGGGCUGAGGUCCAGAUCUUUGCUCCUGACAUCCCUCAGAUGCAUGUAGUCGACCACACCAAGGGGCAGCCUUCUGAGACUGAAACCAGGAACGUUCUGACUGAGUCAGCCAGGAUUGCCCGUGGCAAGAUCACCGACCUGGCCAAGCUCCGCACGGCCGACCACGAUGCUGCCAUCUUCCCUGGAGGCUUUGGAGCUGCCAAGAACUUUCACCCUCUGAGGUGGUCUCGCCGGAGGUCUGCUCACAUCCAUACCGUCUCCCACACACUCCUCGCAGCACAGGGACCUGCUUUUCUGUUAGGUUGUUGGGAGCACGUUCGCCAUACACGGAAAAGACUGCACAGUCCACAGAGACGUGGAGCGCGUCCUGAAGGAGUUCCACCAGGCUGGGAAGCCCAUUGGGCUCGGCAGAGGCACUUCUUUUCUGGGUUGCUGCCAUGAGCCCCACUCCUGAGCUUCCUCUGGGAGCCCCUCCCCGAGGACUGGUCUGAGGUGGCCCCGGGCAGCAGCCUCACGUUCCUCUGCGCUCCCAAACUCGGCACAGCAGUUACUCCCAUCACAGCCUGUGGUCCUGGGUCCCGGCAGUCCCAGCAGGUGGGUGAGGCCAGCUGUGCCUGCCACCAGGAGUGGUUCCCCGGGGGCAGGUGCUGGCACCGCCGUCAGAUCCAUUCCACCAGCAUUCCAGCAGUUGUUCCUCGGUCCUGCCUCAACACUGCACAGUGGGCCCAUGGGGCACUGAGCACGUGCAUUGCACACCUUGGAGUCUCACUGGUGGUAGAAGCUGUCUCAGAGCACAGCUGUGCAGAUGCACUGGAGCUGAACUCACAGGGUUGCAGACUCAAGGCCUCCCAACCUCCACCUGACAGCUGCUGGCUCCCGCGUCACUGGUGAGCCAACAUACCCAGGUCGCUCUAGAACCCUCCAUCUGAACAGAACACAGCAGCCAAGGAGGUUGGGUCUGUCACAGACCCUUAGCCACUCAUCAGAUGCCCUGCCCAGCUUGGGAGCCCCCUUUGUCACAAGCAGUGUCAGCCUGGCAGCAUGUGCCACCUUCUACCUGCAUCUUCUUGGACCAGACCUGCCCGGAAGGGAUGGUGCCGCAAGCCCCCCACCUCCCAGGGUGCUGUCACUGGAACAGCUCCAGUUUUUGCAG